AGAACUGCAGAAGAUCCAACCACGGAGACUGAUCAGUAAUAAUUCCUAACUGUUCAUACAGCUUCAAGUUUGUGCCAGGUCUUCAAAGGUAGAGGGGUGAUGACAGUGCUCUGUUAGAGGCUGUGGAACAGUCAGGGGGAAGCUGGCAUAAAUUGGCUCUUGUGUUUUGUGGUUAUAUGCUUCUUAGGAGAGAGAUCAGCUCUUCUCAGUGUACACUUUUGUAAGUCAUGUGAAGGGCAGAUGGGUUACGUUAAUUAUUUCUUUGAAAUCUUACUUUGCCUUCCGAGCACCCUGAUCUAGAUCUAGCUGUAGAUGUCCCUGUUUAUUGCAGGGGAGUUGGACCAGAUGACCUUCAAGAGUCCCUUCCAACUCAGAUGAUUCUAUGAUUUUCCUUUUAUCAAACUUCACACUCAGUACAUGUAAGAUUUCUGAGACAAGGCCCUUUAUUUUGAACUGCAACUGCAAAGUAUCACUGAAAGCUCUAGAGCUACAUAAAUGCUGAUGCUAGCAGUCACGUUGCCUGAGUCUAUACUGCUAAAUAAAUCAGGGCCAAGAUGUAGUAUCAAGCACUGCCUUGUAACCGCUCAUACUGCUUUUUGUUGUCAGCACUCUCCGGCUAUGGUUUGGCCUCUGCCAACUAAUGCUCUCCAGGGCAACAUCCUGGUACAAUUAGAGAGAGAGAACAGGGCAGUCACUGUUCCCAGUGGGCAACAUGGACAUCAUUGUAGCAGGAUGAUUAAGAACGGUUCAGCUGAGUUCCCUGGAGCUAAGGCAGAGACAGUGAAGAUUCCCUAUUCUACACUGAUUCUACAGAUCUCUUGUCAGACAUCAGAAGUGCCACUUAAAGCCUCACUUUUGUCAGCUAUACUUGCCUACUCAUAGAAUCAGAGCGCAAUACAGUGCUGCCUAUUGGACAGGCUUCCAUGCAUGAAUGCUGCUGAUGCAAGUAUGGCUUCACAGACAGCAAUCUCUUGCUUGGCUUCCAGUGCACUUGUACAGCCCAGUGGUGUCUUCCCAGCCUGGAAGUGGACCCAGCAGGAAACAAGGAGAAAUUGCUGUCCAUUCAGCCUACUCCUUUCUUCAGUAUAUGUAUUUGGUAAAAAGGGGCAGGCCAUAAUUCUCA
rnacentral:lncRNA from 1 species